CUGCAUUGCACCUGAGAUUGAUAAAUGUCUGUUAUCCCGGAGAAGAUGACCGCCGGGUAUCUUGGAUGACCAGCAGCCCGCGGUACUAUCGAAGGGAGGCCGAGCGUGUAUCGGAAUUACUGGGCGUAAUGCUCACGUAUGACGGAGCGAUAAGUCAGGGUGAAAUCCCAUGUGAUCAACCCUGGAAAUGCCUUUGAUACUGUCGAUCUGGAGUAUGGAAGAGGUGAGUGGAAUUCCGAGUGUAGAGGUGAAAUUCGUAGAUAUUAGGAGGAACACCAGUGGAGAUGGGGACUCACUGCUGCAUUAAUGACGAUGAGGUGGGAAAGUGUGGGGAGCAAGCAGGAUUAGAUACCCUAGUAGUCCAGGCUGUAUACCAUGAUUGUUAGCCGUCGGGCAGUAUACUGUUAGGUGUCGCAGCUAAUGCAUUAAGCAGUCGGCGUGGGGAGUACGGUCGCUAGAUUAAAACUCAAAGGAAUUGACGGGGGCCCUCACAAGAGGUGGAGCAUGUGGUUUAAUUCGAAGCAACGCGCAGAACCUUACCAACCCUUGACAUGCCCGGUUCCUCGCAGAGACACACGGUUCCCUUCGGGGACCUGGACACAGGCGUUGCAUGGCUGUGGUCAGGUUGUGUCAUGAGAGUUUUGGUUAAGUCCCGCAACGAGCGCAACCCUCGCCCUUAGUUACCACCAUUCAGUUCGGCACUUUAAGGGGACUACUGGGGAUAUGCAGAGAGGAAGGUGGGGAUGACCUCAAGUCAUCAUGGCCCGUACGGGAUGGGUUACACACGUGCCACAAUGGGGGUCACAGUGGGCACAGAGCACGCGAGUGUGAGUUAAUCUCCAAAAGUCAUCUCAGUUCGGAUUGCCCUCUGCAACUCGAGGGCAUGAAGUUGGAAUCGCUAGUAAUCGCGGAUCAGCAUGCCGCGGU
rnacentral:rRNA from 1 species